AGCAGGAUUGGAGUGAG
rnacentral:misc_RNA from 1 species